rnacentral:rRNA from 1 species
UACGUAGGGGGCGAGCGUUGUCCGGAUUUAUUGGGCGUAAAAGGCUUGUAGGUGGCCACGUCAAGUCGGAUGUGAAAUCUCCCGGCUUAACCGGGAGUGGUCGGUGGAAACUGCUCGUCUGGAGGACGGUAGAGGUAGGUAGAAUUCCCGGUGUAGUGGUGAAAUGCGUAGAGAUCGGGAGGAAUACCUGUGGCGAAGGCGGCCUACUGGGCCGGACCUGACGCUGAGACGCGAAGGCGUGGGGAGCGAACGGG